CCUACGGGAGGCAGCAGUGAGGAAUAUUGGUCAAUGGACGAGAGUCUGAACCAGCCAAGUAGCGUGAAGGAUGACUGCCCUAUGGGUUGUAAACUUCUUUUAUAUGGGAAUAAAACGUUCCACGUGUGGGAUUUUGUAUGUACCUUAUGAAUAAGGAUCGGCUAACUCCGUGCCAGCAGCCGCGGUAAUACGGAGGAUCCGAGCGUUAUCCGGAUUUAUUGGGUUUAAAGGGAGCGUAGGUGGGUUGUUAAGUCAGUUGUGAAAGUUUGCGGCUCAACCGUAAAAUUGCAAUUGAAACUGGCAGUCUUGAGUACAGUAGAGGUGGGCGGAAUUCGUGGUGUAGCGGUGAAAUGCUUAGAUAUCACGAAGAACUCCGAUUGCGAAGGCAGUUCACUGGACUGCAACUGACAUUGAGGCUCGAAAGUGUGGGUAUCAAACAGGAUUAGAUACCCGUGUAGUC
rnacentral:rRNA from 1 species